UUUUUUUAUGUCAAUGAUAGCUAUACUCUUUUCACCUGUUAAUUGAGAGAUUACCUAAAUUAAAAGCUACUUUGAAUUCAGCAACAGUUUACAAUUUAUUAUGGGGAGGGAGGUGGGAGGGGGGUUCAGGAUGGGGAACACGUGUACACCCGUGGUGGAUUCAUGUUGAUGUAUGGCAAAACCAAUACAAUAUUGUAAAGUAAUUAGCCUCCAAUUAAAAUAAAUAAAUUUUUUAAAAAACUUGAAAAAAGAAAUAAAGCAUUGACAUACAAUUGACCAAUAAUAUCUAUCCAGAAACAUAAGAUACAUUCAAUCUGUAGACAAUGAAUUCUUGAUUUCUUGCCAUGACGACUUACCACCAGUCAAGAACCACUGCCUUGAAGAUGACAUCCACAUUAAUUAGCGAGCUGUAUAAGCUGUUUUAAACUGUUUCCAGUUUCAUCUCCAGUCAUUUAGCUGUGCUUACUUCUUGCCCCACUACAGCCACACAAGCUGCUCCCAUUCCUCCUAAUUCUCACUCAUCGCCAUUCCCAGAAAUGCCCUUGCAUCCUUUUCUUUGCCUCGCCUUAUCCCAUAAGAGUUUUUGCUCUUUCUUGUAACUCAAAAUAUUUCUUAUGUCAUCUCUAGUGCAGCACUUACUAUAUUGUAUUUGGGUGGUUUUUAACAUUUGUCUCCCUCACCAGAUUCUGGGCUCCUUGGAGGCAGAGUCUGGGUCCUAUUCGCCUCUGUAUCCUGGUCCCUAGCAGAGUGCCUGGUGAAUAGUAGGUGCUCACAUGGUACAGGCUCUGGUGGCAGUGCCUGAAUGGGCAGCAAAAUGCCAAAGGCAAGUGGCCAGAGGAAGAGCAGCAACCCGGACAUUCAACCUCUGGAAAAAUGAAAAUUCACUGGAGUCUCGUCUCAUUUCAGAGAGCAGGAGCUGCCUGGUUUCUAAACUUGGAAGUGCUGAGUCUCAAAUGCCAGGGCACAGCGUAUAACAUGGAAAAAAUGAAACCCUCUUCUGUUGCAUCCAACUGCAUGGUCACUGAGAACAGCAAAGUAGUAGUCAUUCUUGAAGUGUGUGCAAGGAAGAUCAGCAAAAGGAAGUCACAGCCUAGGAUUUCUGAAGAGCCUGCCUCAGAUUAUUGCCCCUCCACUGAGCCUGGGCCUCCCUCUGAAUUUAAACGAGGUAUUACUGCUAACCAUUAAAAAUGAAAAUCCUCCUUCAUCCAGUAAGCUGUAGGUGUGCAGGCAUCCUUACCAAUUGGUGUUCCAUCUUUUGGCAAGUAAAUAUGACCUGAUAUCAUCU
rnacentral:lncRNA from 1 species